CCUGGCUGUCUUCAAGACCCCUGGUUGUCUUCAAGACCCCUGGCUGUCUUCAAGACCCCUGGUUGUCUUCAAGACCCCUGGCUGUCUUCAAGACCCCUGGUUGUCUUCAAGCAGGCACUGGACAGGCACCUAAAGUCAGUACCUGACCAGCCGGGCUGUGGUUGGUACAUUGGACUGUGUGCGGCUAGUAAUAACAGCCUGGUUGAUCAGGCCCUGGUCCACCAUGAGGCCUGGUCACAGAACGGGCCACGAGGGCGUUGACCCCCGGAACUAUCUCCAGGUAUACUCCAGGUAUACACAGCAGCAUAUGUGUAGAGAACCUGGGAUAACCUAAAAAAGUCAGUGACUUAUUUCCAUUGGCCAGUAGGCCUGCUGCAGUGCUCCUCCAAUCUUAUAUUCAUACGUUUCUGUACAGUAGAACCCGCAUAUGCAGAGAUUCGGUUUCUACAGUUUCGGUUAUCCACGGUUUACCGUGGCCUGAACAUAUCCUUAAUUUAGCUUAAUAAUGUUGGUAAGACAUGACAGUAGUGAUGGUGGCAGUUGUUCAGAGUCUAAGACAAGCCAUCAAGUGCUUCUCAUUAGUAAAAAAGUGAUAAUUCUCCACUUACUGUGUGUAAUUUAUCAAUUAAACUUCAUCAUAGGCCUAUCAGAAUGUGGGAGCCAAGAUACAAGAGGACCUAUCAGAAGCACCGGUGAUCAUAGGGGUGAAGCAGGUGCCCAUUGAUCAGCUUAUACCAAACAGAACAUACUGUUUCUUCUCUCACACUAUUAAAGCCCAGGAAGCCAACAUGCCGCUCCUUGAUGCUAUUUUAGAGAAGAACAUCCGGUUGCUGGACUAUGAGCGUAUGUGUGACAGGCAAGGCCAGCAUGUGGUGGCGUUUGGCAAGUAUACUGGAGUUGCUGGCAUGAUCAACAUUCUUAAUGGGCUUGGUCUUUGUCUCCUAAUACUUGGGCAUCACACACCCUUCAUGAUAUGCUACUACUUGGGCAUCACACACCCUUUGUGCACAUUGGACCCGCCCAUAAUUACCGCAACACAGAGAUGGCAAGACAGUCAAUUCGUGACACCGGCUAUGAAAUUUCGCUGGGCAUGAUGCCGAAAUCCAUUGGUUCUCUGAUGUUCAUCUUCACCGGCACUGGGAACGUGUCACAGGGGGCCCAGGAGAUAGUUCAGGAGCUGCCCCGUGAGUAUGUCUCUGUGAAGGCGUUGAAGAAAGUCACUGAACAUGGAGGUAAGUCAUUAGAUGAAUCUGAAACUCCUGAACGAAAGGACCGGAUAGGGAUUCAAACUGCUGUACAUGGGGUGAGUAAUGAUGAGUGACCUAACUGGUCACACCUCCACCACUAACUGGUCACACCACCACCACUAACUGGUCACACCUCCACCACUAACUGGUCACACCUCCACCACUAACUGGUCACAGACUGUACCAUGAUUACUGGAUGAAGGUUCAGACCUACACCACUAACCGGGCACAGACAAAGUUAAAUGUUUAUUUCAGCUUAAUACAAUGUUUGUACAGAGAUGGUUGACAUGAUACAAUGUUUGUACAGUGAUGGGUGACAUGAUACAAUGUACAGUGAUGGGUGACAUGAUACAAUGUACAGUGAUGGGUGACAUGAUAGUGCUUGUACAGUGAUGAUUGACAUGAUAGUGCUUGUACAGUGAUGGGUGACAUGAUAUAAUGUAGUGAUGGGUGAUAUGAUACAAUGUUUGUACAGUGAUGGGUGACAUGAUACAGUGCUUGUACAAUGAUGGGUGACAUGAUACAAUGUUUGUACAGUGAUGGGUGACAUGAUACAAUGUACAGUGAUGGUUGACAUGAUACAAUGUGUGUACAGUGAUGGUUGACAUGAUGCAAUGUGUGUACAGUGAUGGUUGACAUGAUACAGUGCUUGUACAAUGAUGAUUGGCAUGAUAGUGAUUGUACAGUGAUGGGUGACAUGAUACAGUGCUUGUACAGUGAUGGUUGACAUGAUAGUGCUUGUACAGUGAUGGGUGACAUGAUACAGUGCUUGUACAAUGAUGGGUGACAUGAUAAGUAAGUAAGUAAGUAAGUUUAUUCAGGUAUACACAAAUACAGUUACAUAGAAUUAUCAUACAUAGCAGCAUAUGUGUAGAGAACCUGGGAUAACCCAAAAAAGUCAGAGUGACUUAUUUCCAUUGGGGUCCUUUGAUACAGUGCUUGUACAGUGAUGGUUAACAUGUUACAGUGCUUGUACAGUGAUGGGUGACAUUUAGGUGUGCAAGCAGGAAGCUCAUAGUCAUGCAGAGCAUUUUGGGUUCAAUUUACAAUAUUUUGACUUUACAACAGUUCGACUUACGAGAGUUCAACUUUACGAUGGUGUAGCAGCAAUUACUUUGGAGAUGAAACUUAAGAUAAUUACACGACAUGAAGGUAACUUGUAUUCAUUCAUUUACUUUUUAAUACUGGUACAGCCUCUCCUCACUUAACGAUGGAGUUCCAUUCAUGAGACCACGUCAUUAAACAAAUUCGUCGCUAAGUGAGGAGCAUAUUAUAAUGGUAGUGGGUUUGUGUCAACCAAUACAGCAGUGUACUGUAUAUUGUAAUAAACAGAAGAGAGGAAAUCAGCUCUAAUAUACAUUAUUUAGGUAUGAAUACUGGUCAGAGAGCCCAUUGUAAGUCCAAGGCAUCGGUAAAGGAGUACGUCGCUAAGUGAGGAGAGGCUGUAUUUAGUUAGUUACAGUAAUUAUUUGUUUAUUUACUGAUUGAAUGACAGUAGUUAUUAACCCUUUGACUGUUUCAGGCCCCUCUCUGAAACUGUCAUUCUAUGUCGCUCAAUUUUUGAAAAAAAAAAAAUUAUUUUUUCUUAUGAAAUGAUAGAGAAUCUUUUCCCGAUGGUAAUGACACCAAAAGUUCGAAAUUUGGUCGAAAACUCGUGGAAUUAUGCUCCCGCGAAGUUAGCGGUCUCGGCGACAUAUGCGUAUCGGCGAUUUCGCCGACUUUGAGCCCUAUUUUCAGCCAAUUCCAUUGUUCCAGUUGACCAAACUCAUAGCUAUUUCUUUAGAACUCCAUUUUAUCUAUCAGCUGAGUACAAGAAACCUCCAAUUUACUAAUUUGGACUACCCAAUAUGAUGGUCAGAAAUUGGCAAUUUGGCCAAUUUCACACAAACUAAAAAAGAAGCCAAUUUCAAAAUAGGGUCCAGAAUAAACAAGAUAGACAUUCGUGGCACUAAAAUAACAUAUGCUCUGUUCAUUAGUCACAUCUCUAGGCCCCUCUUAUAUUAUUAUUGCUUUCUAUUUUGAUUUUUUAUUCAUACAAAAAAAUACAAAAUUUACUGUUAUGCAGACGACUGCAUUAUUGUAAAAAUGGUAUAAAUAAUAUCAGUGCACUAGUGAAAGAAUAUUAGACUCCCCAGUUGACGUGUAUUGGACGUGUGGUGUGAUUUAUUUACUCUUGAACAUUGGUAAAAAUCGAACAUUUCCACUACUUUGAGCUCAGUUUCAAGGUCGUUUUCAUCGUAAAAGUAAUGAAAAUCAUCUCUAUUUCUGUAAUAUGUUUUCCAUUUUAUCACCUAAGACCAUGAAAACGCGAAUACAACGAUAAAUACUAUACGAAAAUACACCUCAAAGUCGGCGUUUUAUUCCAAAAAAACGAUCAGAGUUUUUUUUUUCUCAUUACGCAAUGUGUGCUGCAGGAUUUUUUUUAAUGUGGUGCACACUGACCACACAGACGCAUUCUCUCACAUGUGGGCCUACCAGCUUUCUCCUGCUUGAUUUGAAGCCGCUAGAAUUAUUGAGUAUAUAUACGUCAGAAACAUUGGCUCGUAAGACGUAUUUAUACGUCGAAAACAGUCAAAGGGUUAAUUUGUUAUUUAUUUAGCAUAACAUAUUUAUAUUCUCCUAUGACAUUUUCAACUUACGAUGGGUUCGUUAGAACAUAAUCCCAUCGUAAGUCAAGGAGCACCUUCCUGUGCCUUUAACAGUGAUGUUUCUACUGUUGGUGCAAUUCUAAACUUUUGAUCAUGUUGGUGCUUGAAAAUAAAGAAUGAGCGAGUGUUUUGGUUGUAAGAAUUGUUUAGCAUGACAGAUAAUAAUAAUAAUAAUAAUAAUAAUACAUAAUAAUAAUAAUAAUAAUAAUAAUAAUCUUUAUUUCUGCAAGUUCAUGUACA